UACGUAGGGGGCAAGCGUUGUCCGGAUUUAUUGGGCGUAAAGAGCGUGUAGGCGGCCUGGAAGGUCAGCUGUGAAAACUCGAGGCUCAACCUCGAGACGUCGGCUGAAACCACUUGGCUAGAGUCCGGAAGAGGAGUGUGGAAUUCCCGGUGUAGCGGUGAAAUGCGCAGAUAUCGGGAAGAACACCCGUGGCGAAGGCGGCACUCUGGGACGGUACUGACGCUGAGACGCGAAAGCGUGGGGAGCGAACAGG
rnacentral:rRNA from 1 species